rnacentral:rRNA from 1 species
UGCAGCCAUGCCGCGUGUGUGAAGAAGGCCUUCGGGUUGUAAAGCACUUUCAGUAAGGAGGAAAGGGGUGUAGUUAAUAACUGCAUCCUGUGACGUUACUUACAGAAGAAGCACCGGCUAACUUCGUGCCAGCAGCCGCGGUAAUACGAGGGGUGCAAGCGUUAAUCGGAAUUACUGGGCGUAAAGCGUUCGUAGGCGGUUUGUUAAGCAAGAUGUGAAAGCCCCGGGCUCAACCUGGGAACUGCAUUUUGAACUGGCAAACUAGAGUACUGUAGAGGGUGGUGGAAUUUCCAGUGUAGCGGUGAAAUGCGUAGAGAUUGGAAGGAACAUCAGUGGCGAAGGCGGCCACCUGGACAGAUACUGACGCUGAGGAACGAAAGCGUGGGGAGCAAACAGGAUUAGAUACCCNGGUAG